rnacentral:rRNA from 1 species
AACGAACGCUGGCGGCAUGCCUAACACAUGCAAGUCGAACGAGACCUUCGGAUCUAGUGGCGCACGGGUGCGUAACGCGUGGGAACCUGCCCUUAGGUUCGGAAUAACUCCCCGAAAGGGGUGCUAAUACCGGAUAAUGUCUUCGGACCAAAGAUUUAUCGCCUUUGGAUGGGCCCGCGUUGGAUUAGCUAGUUGGUAGGGUAAAAGCCUACCAAGGCGACGAUCCAUAGCUGGUCUGAGAGGAUGAUCAGCCACACUGGGACUGAGACACGGCCCAGACUCCUACGGGAGGCAGCAGUGGGGAAUAUUGGACAAUGGGCGAAAGCCUGAUUCAGCAAUGCCGCGUGAGUGAUGAAGGCCUUAGGGUUGUAAAGCUCUUUUACCCGGGAUGAUAAUGACAGUACCGGGAGAAUAAGCUCCGGCUAACUCCGUG